rnacentral:rRNA from 1 species
UUUGUCUCUUAAAUGGGGACCUGUAUGAAUGGCUACACAUUUUCUAACUGUCUCCUUUCUUAACCUUUUAAACUUCUAUUAAUGUGAAGAAGCAUUAAUAAAAAAGAAAGACGAAAAGACCCUGUCGAGCUUCAACUACAAAUAAGAAAAUUACACAACCCUAGAGAAAAGUAAAACUCUUUUAAAAAGUUUUGGUUGGGGAAACCAUGGAGUAAUAAAAAACCUCCAGAAAAAAAAGAAGACUCUAAAUCCCUUUAAAACUAUUAAAAGAACCAGAGCCCCUGACAACCAGAAAAAGUUACCGCAGGGAUAACAGCGUCAUCUCCUUUAAGAGUAC